ACAAGCCCGCAUUGCCCGCAAUUCGGUUCGGUCGCCGUCUUUACGAAAACAAAAUGUCUACUUUGCUGCGUGUGAUAACGUGUCAAUUUAUACAUCUCUGAUAAUUAAUUCGCGUUCUCGUUCAAAAGAACGAGUACUUUUUUGGUGCUAUCAACGUUUUCCUGGUGAAUCAUUGAAUAAUCAUGAGUUUCUCGGUGAAGAAAACGGGUGGUAGGAUGUGGCAUGAGGCCAGGAAACAGGAGAAAAAGAUUCGUGGAAUGCUAGUGGAUUAUCGAAGGCGAGCCGAACGACGCAGAGAUUAUUAUGAAAAAAUUAAAUCCGAUCCCACGCAAUUCCUUCAAUUACAUGGAAGGCCAUGUAAAAUACACUUAGACCCAGUUAUCGCAGCUGCGGGAGACAGCCCUGCUAACAUGAUGCCAUGGCAAGGAAAUGACGACAAUCUCAUAGAUCGAUUUGACGUCAGAGCGCAUUUAGAUUGGAUUCCAGAAGCUCCGGAUACAAUAGACGUGGACAUUGCUCUCACAAGUGAAGACCGACAUAUCAACUAUGAGCGCUAUAGAAUAAUAGUCCAAAACGAAUUUCUCGGAGUAACGGAAGAAAAAUUCCUACAUCAAAUACAUUUGGAAGAGCAGUUUGGCUCCUCCACUAAACCAGAUUCUAUCAAGGAUAAAAAAAAAUCUAGCAAUAAUGCUGCGAUCGGGUACAAUUAUGAUACUGAAGAAGCUAUACCAGAGCCUGUUAAACACACGGAACAAAACACAUCUGAAGAAAAACCGGAGGACGAGGAUAGUGACAUUGAUUUAGAUAUUUGUGUAGACGUUUCGCAAAUAGAACCGUCCCAAGCUCACGAAAUGAACCAAGUUGCUCAAAAAUACGGCCUCCUUGGUGCCGAUUACUUUAGUUUUUUGACCCAGGAUUUCGAAGAGGCUGAAACGUUAAGACAGGCUCGGAAACAGGAGGAAGAAAAAGCGAUGUAUUCAGGCAGAAGAUCGCGUCGGGAACGGCGAGCUUUUCGUGAAAAAAAAAUGAUCGGACGAGUUAUGAGUCCACCGAGUUAUGCAGCGCGUGAAAGUCCCGAGUACAAUCCUUAUAGAAAAUCUUCGUCAAAAUCUCGUUCCCGAUCGACGUCACCUGUAAACACUGGACAAAUAACGUACAUCACAAGUUUCGGUGGCGAAGAAGAAGCUCAUGGAAGUUCCUCUCACGUUACAUCCUCGAGCUCGAAGAAAGUCAAUUAUUCGCAAUUGAGAAGAAAAAGAUCGGAUAGUCCGUUGUUCAGUGAUCGAACUUCCGGUCGGAGGGUUUCCAAAUCACGCUCGAGAAGUCGGUCACGUUCGAACACGAGAAACAGAUCGUACAGAUCGCGCGACAGGAGACGAAGUCUGUCACGAAAUCGAGGAAGAAGACCACGUUCGCGGCCUCGUAAACAUGGUAGAACGAGAUCGCGAAGUCGAACACGUCGUUCUCGAAGUCGACAAAGAGUGACGUCUCGCUGCAAGAGUCCCACCAGGUCACGAUCCCCGCGCUCAAUAUCUCGCUCGAGGUCAAGGUCCCGUUCGCGCUUUCAACGCUCCAGAACUAGUUCUUCAAGUAGUUACUCACGAUCGCCAACACGUUCGAGAUCGAGAUCUCGCAACAGAAGUGCAUCCCGCGACAGUUUUCGAAAAACUCGUUAUUCCCCGUCAAAAUCGCGAUCGAGGUCUCUUUCGAGGUCAAAGUCACGUACGAAAUCGAGAUCGAGGUCGAAGAGUCGUGGAAGUGGGAGAAGAUCGAAGAGCACGGAAAACAAGACUUCCGCUCUGCCUAGAUAUUACGGUCGUCGUGGAAAGUCUUCGAGUCUUGAGCUGGAACUAUCAGACAACGAAGAGAAAAAUGUCCACAAUGGACCUAAAGUACCGACCAUUAGCACAAGCGUGAACAAGCCAAAAGCAGGGUUAAGUACAAAUUCUGGUGGCGGACACAAAUCGACCAAAAUUACACCCCAGGAGCGGCUUAAAAAGAAAAUGCAGGUCCUUUUGAAUCGACAAUACAAAGCUGAUAAGAAAGCCGAGCAGCUGCGAAUGGAAAAAAUGGAACAGCAACGACAAGAUCGCGAGGACGAAAUACGAGAAAUGUCGUUGAAAUUGCGGCGCAAACAACGGGAAAGGCGCCAUCGAUACGAAGGACACAGUUCCGAUUCCCGGUCGUCAGGCUCACGAUCGCCGAGUCCGGCUCGAAGUCCUCGUCACGUUGUUCGCCGGGAUCGUCGAGAUCGAGACAACCGCGAUUUCGAUGCGGAAAACGAGAGAGAAAGAGAACGCGACAGACGCGAAGAUCGGGACAAAAGUCGACAGGAGUCCCGACGACGUUACAGAGAAACUCCACCUCGCUCGUUGAGUCCACGAAGCAGCAGUUAUAAAUCACGGAAAUCGUGAGAGCAGAACAAAAGCUUUUAGGAAAAAUCGAAAAAGCUGGAAACUCGAUAGAAUAAUUCAACACACCAUCCUCCGCGUGGAUCGUCUCGCAGCCUCCGACCGUUUAUUUAAGAAACACACACACACACAGCUAGUGACAUUACAUCCUUGAAAAAUAUAUAUAUUGGGAACGUUUUGUCGUCCGUGGAAAAGCGACUAUUUCUUUUAUUAAUCGUCGAAAUGAUUGUCAACUUUCCUCAUUCAUCGAAACUCAUUACGAACAAUUACGCUUGUCGAAGUUUUCCAUCGGUCAACAAAAUCUGGUAGAUCGACAUGUACAUGGUGAACGACAUGUUAAAGGUGUAAAGCAGAGUUUGCUAAUCGUGACUGUUUUACGUUAUGGUUAUGAAAGUAAAAUUCACAAUUAUAAAACACAAUCGCCGCAAUUUUUUUCUUCGUUAUUCCUUUUUCCGCACUGAUAAACGCGGAUCGUCGAUUUUAUCUUCCUCCAAUUCUGAAUCACCCGUUAGAAAAAGAAAAAUGUCUGCGCAUUACGUGGAAACACGAAUGAUAAUGAAGCAUUAGUGGAUCCGCGUGUAUCCUUCGAAUUUCGCAUAUAAAAGGAUGCAUUUUUGUUCCCUGUUCAAUAGUCUUUCCGAGCUUACUUAACGUUCAACAUGAAAAUCAUUCCUAUUCUCGCCAUAUUCUUGUUUGCUCUAUUCGAGUUUUGCUGCGGUCAAGGGUAUGGAAGAGGCGGAUACGGUAACAUGUACGGAGGAGGACGAAGAGGUAACUACGGCGGAGGUUACCGCGGAGGCAACGGUGGCUAUGGGGGCUAUGGAGGCUAUGAAGGCUAUGGAGGUGGACGGGGCAAUAUGCUCGGAAUAGGCGGCUACGGUAGACCACCAAUGAUCCUCUACUAAAAAGAAAUCGCACGCCGUACCAGGAAUGAUGAAACUGUCAACUGUCAACGGGUUCUCUUGUUGUCGGUCGAAUGGAUCAACACGUUAAUAGUUAUCAACAUUCUAACGCUCAUUGAUUGGAAAUGUAAAUGAUUGUUGAAAAUGCAAAUGUAAAAUGUUUUUUGGAAAAAAUAUAUGUGUGUAGACGAGCAUCGAAUUGGUACAGUUUUUUCCUCACCUUUCUCAAGAAAUGUGUUAAUUUUAUUUCACAAACCACUGGAUCUCCGAGAAAGAUUCCGGACCGAAUAAACGCAAUCAAAGCAACAUAGAGUAGCGUGCAUCGCUGGAUGCAACCCCUAACAGCAAACCCCGGACCAGCUGAACAUCACAACUAUUUAUUGCAACACAUUUAUAAUUCCCAGUUCAAAAGUAAAAAAAAAAAAAAAAUCCGAUAUAUAAUUACACAAUGAACAAGGGAAAUACCAAAAGUUUUUAAUAUCACGAAAGUUAAAAAAAAAUCCACUCCAGUAGCCUACAGUAUUUCAUAAAAUCGGUCUUCCAAAAACUCAUUCUCAACUGGUUGGGAAACGUUUCGUAAAUUUCGUGUUUUCCUAACCGCACAAUAAGUUUCGACUAAAUAUUUGAGUGCACGAGUCGUUCGUUUCUCGAUCACAGAAUCCAGCUCGAAAUAUUUCUCACUUUCUUCGUCAGUAUUGAUGAAAUUAACAGCCGGGAUUUCGGUAUGAAGAACGAGGGAGAAAGACAUCAACAGAUUCGAAGAUGAGUAAGCAAUUCGAGGAGGAUGAGCGGCGACGUUGCAGGUAACUCCGCCUAACGUCACUAACGUCGAGUUAUCACGAAGCAACAGAUGGUUUCCAUACACAAAAUUGUCAAUUUUAAUAAAACAGGACUAAAUAUUAUUUGCACGCGGUUCGAAAAAUGUCACUCGAAGUUGGAAGUCUGCUGCUAGGAUUUAUGGAAACUGUUCAAUUGUUUUGUCAGAAUAAUUUUGUUUUCGAUUUAAUUCUACCACGCUGGUAUGGGGCAUUUCAAAGGAGAAAUUCGGCAAAUGUUUGGUUAUAAAUCAUAGUGAUCAUAAAAGCAGUAUUAAAAAUUUAGUAAAUGUCGAAAAAAUUGGAAAACCAAAAAAACCCAGUGUAACAUUGUGCCCGUACGUGUAGAUAGUCCUGCAGCCUCGAACUUUUAAUGUUAUUAAGAAACACAGGAACUGUGUCAUUUCGUCCUUGAAAAAUAUACUGGAAAAUACACAUUCGAGUUCCUUUGUCACCCGUAGAAAACCGAUCAAUUAAUUAAUACAUCAUCGAAAUAAUUGUCAACUGGCAUUCUUCGCCGUAACUCAUCACGAUCGAUUAUUGUCGCCGUUGUUUUCCAUCGAUGUGAGGUAAACUACCCAAUGCGCGGCCCCCGUCAGCCUUACUCUUCCUGGGUGUAUUCUACGUUCAACAUGAAAGUCAUUCCAAUCUUCGUUAUUUUAGUGUUUGCUCUAUUCGAGGUUUGCUGCGGCCAAGAAGGGUUCGGCAGAGGUGCAUAUGCCGGCUAUCCCGGAGGCGGACAAAGAGGUGGUUUCGGCAGAGGCAACGAAGGUUAUGGGAACUACGGAAACGAUGGCCUGAUCGGACCGGGAAAUAACAACAGAGGCGGAGGUAUCAGAGACUACGGAAACGACGGGCUGAUCGGACCGGGAAAUGGCAGACGCGGCGGUUACAUAGACUAUGGAAAUGACGGGCUCGUCGCUGGGCCGGGAAACGGCCAGAGACCCGGCAUCGCAAUCCUUUACUGAACAAAUUCUCAGUCUCAAGAAAAAUGAAGCUCAUCUCGACACGUAUUCGUGUAACCGAAUGAGUGGAUCGACGCGUCGAUUUUACUACAUAACCUCCAAAACAAGGAUUAUAGUGCAUUUGGAACCAACUCUGUUCGCGAUGUAAAUAAAGUAUGUUUGUGAAGAAAAAAAUACACGUGACAAACGAG